rnacentral:rRNA from 1 species
UACGUAGGUGGCAAGCGUUGUCCGGAGUUAUUGGGCGUAAAGCGUGCGUAGGUGGUGAGUUAAGUCUGAUGUGAAAUCCCCGGGCUCAACCUGGGAAUGGCAUUGGAUACUGGCUCGCUAGAGUGCGGUAGAGGGUGGUGGAAUUCCCGGUGUAGCAGUGAAAUGCGUAGAGAUCGGGAGGAACAUCUGUGGCGAAGGCGGCCACCUGGACCAGCACUGACACUGAGGCACGAAAGCGUGGGGAGCAAACAGG